UACGAAGGGGGCGAGCGUUGUUCGGAUUUACUGGGCGUAAAGGGCGCGCAGGCGGCUCAUUUUGUCAGGCGUGAAAGCCCCGGGCUUAACCUGGGAACUGCAUUUGUGACUGGCGGGCUAGAGUAUGGCAGAGGGGGGUAGAAUUCCACGUGUAGCAGUGAAAUGCGUAGAGAUGUGGAGGAAUACCGAUGGCGAAGGCAGCCCCCUGGGCCAAUACUGACGCUCAUGCACGAAAGCGUGGGGAGCAAACAGG
rnacentral:rRNA from 1 species